rnacentral:scRNA from 1 species
UUGAUACGUCUGGUGGGCCGGUGUCCUGGCUG